CCGUCCAUCCUAAUUCCUGCUGGUCACUCCUGUACCUGCCAGGCUUCGCUGGUGGACCAGAGUAUCUCAGAGACCCUCUCGGGUGGCCCCUGCAAUGGGCCGGCAGCCAGCCAGGGUCUCUAAACACGC